UACGUAGGGUGCAAGCGUUUGUCCGGAAUUAUUGGGCGUAAAGAGCUCGUAGGCGGUUUGUCGCGUCUGCUGUGAAAACGCGAGGCUCAACCUCGCGCCUGCAGUGGGUACGGGCAGACUAGAGUGCGGUAGGGGAGAUUGGAAUUCCUGGUGUAGCGGUGGAAUGCGCAGAUAUCAGGAGGAACACCGAUGGCGAAGGCAGAUCUCUGGGCCGUAACUGACGCUGAGGAGCGAAAAGCGUGGGGAGCGAACAGG
rnacentral:rRNA from 1 species